GAGACAGGGCUAGCCGGACAGAAGGUCGGGAGAAAUGUGUACUAAACCUGAUAUUUCAGGUGUGGGAGAAUCCCACCUCCCCCAAAACACACACUGCGCACAGGUGCCUGCGAUUCCUGUUAGAGAACAGGGUUAAGGUAUAAUAUACCCUUGUGGGUAGAUGACAGCCAGCGCCUUGAACACGCGCUGUAUUUACAAGGAGAGAGCAGAGGAUACAGGGCAAGGGAGGGGAGGUGGCCGCGGAGACGUCGCUAGGCUGCCUAGGGUCUUCCGGACCGUGGAGAAUGCCCUGAGGUCACACUGGUAUUGAAGCUAUGAAAAAAGAGCAAACAUCUUGCUUGGCUAAGAAGGAGGAGAUGCUGGGUUGAUUCUGUGCAUGCAGUUGGCUGUGUGCCCACCUCAUUGAGGAUCUGAGUGGCGUUCUUUGCUCUUAGCAUGUCGGGCGUAUCUUCCAUUUCACUGAGACCCUUCCCACGGAUGCCUUCCUCUAGAUCUUUCCUGUACUCUUUCUACGGCACAGAAUACAAGCAACAAUGCUGACAAGAAAGCCUGGAUUAUUCCUCUUUGGUGAAGAGCCAAAACAAAAUAAAAAAUCCUUCUAAUUUUAAAGAGUUACAGUUUAGUAAAUAAAGAUAUGAAUAAAGGCAGGGUAUAAGCUUCAUCAGUUAAUAUUCAAUGUCAAAUAAGAAACUAGAAAUUAAUAGAAGGCUGAGGGACUUGAACUGUAUAUUGGCGCUUCUAAAGACUGAAGAGCAGGUCCAAGAAUUAGAACGUUUCUUGCCACUGAGACUGUAAAACAGGGUGAAAGCUAUGAGUGAAAACAUUUUGAGCAGUUUAUACUGUUGAUUCAGGAUGAGAUCCUCAGUCUGUUUUCAGCUUUUGAUUGGUGUCAGCAGCCUAAAGAAGUUAGGAGGCCAUCUCCAAAUCUACUCUACCUUCCUGUUCCAAAGGCAUGUUCCAGAGGGAAAGUUUCAUGCAGGAAAAGACAGAUGCUCCGUUUGGGUGGCAUCUUCUGAGAAGAUAGUCCUGCUAAAGGAGAGCCUGGCGGUAGGAUGGUUCUUACCUCACUCAUUUGCAGAGAAUUGGCUUUUGCCAGGACAACCUCUGGCGUGUCGACAAUGGAAGUGAAUUUCAAGGCUUCUGGGCGUGUCCUGUAGAGUCUUUCAUUCAGCAGGUCUUGAGCACCCUUCACCCUGGUCAUUUCUACUGAGCCUUCUGGCAUCCAGCCAAUGCCACGCAGCCAAUCCAGGUCUGCUUUGUACACAUUCUACAGAGACAUUAGACAGAAAUAUUGUUCCAAGUGCUAGACAUAGCAGCCCUUAAUUGGAAAGUAAGUUCACGGGGUUGAGGGGUUGAUAAGCACAGGAGAUGGUGGUUCCAAAAAAGUAGGACCCGAGAUUUUACAUGAAUCAGGGGUUUCAAUAUCCAUGACAGAGUAAUUUGUAAAAGCAUAAUUUUUUAUGCUAGCCAUGAAUAAGGAUAAAAUGGUAAUAAUGCUAAAUUCCAUGGUAAUUAUUUGAUAUUGCAAAGAAAUUAUAUAACUGGAAAACAAUUUAAAGAUAUUGUGCCAAAUCUCAUUUCAUUUUCAUCCUGUAAUAGGAUGAAACUCUGUUAAGUGUUUUGGAUAUAGUACAAGAGUGGCAGUUAUUUUUUAAAUGUUCAGAUAAUUUAUGCUUAUUUGAAAUAUAUUUUCAUUGCCAGACAGUACAAAGGACAUGAAAAAAGUAGUCUGGAAUCUAGGCCAGGGAAGACAUGAUCUAAGUAGGGUUCUUCAUCUAUGUUCUUUGAUUCCCAUAACAUAACUCCUAAAUACGGGUUUUGUUUUAACAAUGUGAAUGGCUCCCCCUGAGGUUGUGCAGUGAGCAACCCAUGGGUCUGUCCACAGAGGCACUGUCUGUACAAUUAACAAAUCUAUGUCCUCCCAUUCCUCCUUUCCCAAAGAUCACGUUACGUACAUCACUCUGUAGUUCAUAGGCCUUCCUUGCUUGGAUAAUGUCGUUUUGAUCAGGUAAGCACGUCCAGUGAUGCAGGUAAUUUCGAUAAUCAACGUUACUGACCAGAAUCUGACAUUUCUUGGCCAGCAAGAUGCCUAACAUGUCCACUGGGCUACUGAACUUGGUCUUCCACUUCUGGAAAUCCUUCUUAUACUCUCUUUCACUUUGAAUCUUCCCUGCAUGUAUGGCACACAUAAUCUUGGGGUCAUCUUCAAUGCUCUGGGCUCCAAUGUGGUGGCCUUUCUGUUUCUCAUAUGCUUCUUUGUAUUUGUACUAAAACAUAAGAAAUAUAUGUUUAAAAGCCCAGUUUUAAAACCAUAUGCAUGCUGACAAUUAGACAACAUGAAAACCCACAAGCAAAUGGAUAAGAAUUUCAUAUUUUGAAUAUUUUGACAUCUCUGAACAAUUUUAAACUGUUUUAUGCUGUCAUAAACGUAACAGUAGUGUAAUCAUAUAUCUUCACUGCUGAAAACUUUUUCUGCGACAACUCUAACUACAAUUUCAAAAUCCGUUUUUCUUCUCUGAGACAACAAAGGGAAAGGUCUUGGAAGGUAAGAAGCAUGACUGGAGGGGUAUAUGAGGAAGCAGUUACAAACUGUGGACCACCAGCUGCACUGUGGUGGUUCAGCAAGGUGAGACCAAGGGGGUUAGACAGAGAGCACUUACGUCACUGGCAAUGUCUCUCGAGGCCUUGGCACUCUUGAUGGGAAUAGCAUCAGCUCUCAGAUCAUAGUCCUUCAUCUUUGAUUCAUCCCAUCCCUUGGUGUAAAGUUUCUAGGUGGAGGAUAAUACACAACAGAAAAAGAAAAGAGUUAUAGAAAGUUAACAGGCCACUUCCAGUAAGGAAGGUGGUAAGAUGGGAAAAGUAUUUUAAUUACUCCUAGACUAAAGGCUGACUUAACAAUCAGGAAAUCUCUUACUUGGCUUAUAUUGGCAGAAUUGCUCUUGGCCAGCUUGAUUUCUGGGGUGUCCGGCAUCACGUGGAUGGAGGUUUUGUCAGUAUCCCAGGCUUCUGUAUAUAAAUGCUAUGGGGGAGGUGAGGUAAAACCCUUUGUUAAAGCCAAUACAUUGCAGUUAUUAUAAAAUUUAACUCAUUUAACUGUAAAAUAGCCUUUGAAAACUUAUGUGGAGGUGAGGGAAGCAAAAGGGUAUGGGGAGAGUAAAUCAUGGCAAUAUUUAAACAGACAUAUGAUCGUUUCAUAGCCAAUAUAAAGCAACAUCAUGAUCUCAAUUAUUGAUUCUUUUCAUCCAGUGACUCUCAAGCUUACUCACAGAACCUUCAGGGAUGGAGCUUGGCUAUAGAACUACGAUAUAGUAGAAAUCCCUAGACUUUAGAAUCAAUCCCAAGGUCAAACCCAACUCCCUGAUGUCCAAGCUGUGUGAUCUUGAGAAAGGAUGGAUAAAGAGAUGCUGAUGCCUUGAGUCUGCUGUGCCAAGCAGAAUGUGUAGAGAAAAGUAGUGCAUUUGUGGAUGUCUCUGGGUCACUGCUCAGAAGAGUGUAUGCCUUACUGCAGAGAAAUUGUCCUAGGCUGUACUUCCUCACCCACCCAGAGAAUGAGGGGACACAGGGUUGAGAGAAGCAUGCAGGUCCAACUAGGAUUCAAGCACAUGCUCUGUUGAAGGCCUGCAUGAGAAUUAGGCCCAUCACCUCUCCUUUCUCUGGAAAUCCUCUAGGACAUUUCUCACUUUAUAAACCCAGUCUGUGGAAGGUAUGACACCGGCAACUGGCAAAAGCUGGAGACUCACCUUGCUCAUGGUCAGGGCAUUAUUCUUUGCCAGGACAAUCUCUGGGGUGUCUGUAAUGCAUGUGAACUUGAGCUGGUCUGCAGGCUGGCGGUACUUCCUGUCACUCAGGAUUUCUCCGGCUCUCUUCACAUUCUCGACCUCCACAGAGCCAAUGGGCACCCACCCAAUGCCUCUCAGCCACUCAAGAUCAGCCUUGUAAAUAGCCUGAAAAUGAAACAAUGUCAAAUAUGUGCAGAAAUUACCUCCACAGCCUGAUGUCUAAUCUUGAUUUAGCAUGGUGUAUACAGAUGGUGUAUAAUUCUGCAUCUUGUGUAAAUUUCGGGGAAGACACAGGACUGCCUUACUUUGGUGUAGAAUGGCUAGUCCAGCACUUUGUCCCUGAAGGUAGUCAAUGUUUGCUGUUUUAAAGACCUAUGAAAUCUCUAAUAAUAUGUGAUUUCAUCAAUGAAAAACCAUUUUAAGGAAAUUCCUGCCUGCCUCCCGAUACAAAGUGUUUAUUCUCUGAUUUGAUUGCCUAUACCUCUUUGUAUGGGAAUAAUUCUCUGUUAGAGUAUAGUUUGUUCCUAUCUCUUUGGGCAGGGGCCUUCACAGCCAUUGUGCACCAAAAGAAAGGAUGAACACUUCCACAUGCUAAAUCCACGUGUUUUCUCGGGACAACAAAAAGGGAUCUUUUUUCAGAUGAUUCUAUACUCAUGUUUCUAAGCCAAAGAGUAUAUACAUUUUUACUCUUACUUAUCCUCAGUCCCUCUUCUUGUGUUGUAGUUCAAGUAAAAAAAAAACGAUAUUUUAUCCUGCUUUCAUGUUUCUUCUUUGAACUUAAAUAAAUUGGCUGAAGGAGAAUUUUUCUCAAAAGUAAGAGUAACAAUUCUUUUUGUUUUUAUGGCUUUUUGGGAAACUCUUUUUUACAAUGCCACCACUUUUAUCAUUCUUCCAAAAGUGACUACUUGUCAGAGCCUGAUAAAAAAACAAGGAGCUACUAUACCAGUAAGGUAGUAUUUGAGUCCCAAGGACAAUCUACUGGCUGACAACAAAAAUACUUAACAUAUUUCUAGGGAGACACUGUUUUCAGCUUCUUAGAAAAAUUGUCUUGAUAUAUAUAACUCAUUCUUAUAUUUCCUUCCACAAGCUAUAAUAGAUAUUUUCUAUAAGUUAAGUAGUCAGAAAAAUGAUAAUGCAAUAAAUUCAUUUGGAAAAUCCGGUUGCAUUAAAUCAGGAUUUCUUAACCUGGCAUCAAUGAACUUAGAUAGAAAAAAACAUCUUUAUUUUCAUUAACCUCUAACUGAAACAUAGCAUUUCUUUUAGCUAUAACUAUAGGCAACAGAUUAUGGUAGUAUUAACACUACAUGGAAUUUUAUCAGCAAUAGAAGUCAUAAAUAUUUUCAUAUUUUAUUACAGUUGUUGCAGACAUCUUGCAUAUUUAUGUUCAUCACUUCUUUGAAAUUAAGCUAGUUUUACACCCACUGCUAGAUCUUUUUAUUUAAUGUGUUAAUAAAAAGCAUAUAUAUUACCACACUGUUGGGGGGAAUGUAAAUUGGUGCAGCCACUGUGGAAAACAGUAUGAAGGUUUCUCAAAAAACUAAAAAUAUAUUGGGUUGUUUGUUUUUUUUAAUAUUGAGCUGCAUGAGCUGUUUAUAUAUUUUGGAGAUUAAUCCUUUGUCCAUUGAUUCGUUUGCAAAUGCUUUCUCCCAUUCUGAGGGUUGUCUUCUCAUCUUGUUUAUGGUUUCCCUUGCUGUGCAAAAGCUUUGAAGUUUCAUUAGGUCCCAUUUGUUUAUUUUUGUUUUUAUUUCCAUUACUCUAGGAGGUGGAUCAAAAAGGAUCUUGCUAUGAUUUAUGUCAAAGAGUGUUCUUCCUAUGUUUCCCACUAAGAGUUUUAUAGUGUCUGGUCUUACAUUUAGGUCUCUAAUCCAUUUUGAGUUUAUUUUUGUGUAUGGUGUUAGGGAGUGUUCUAAUUUCAUUCUUUUACAUGUAGCUGUCCAGUUUUCCCAGCACCACUUAUUGAAGAGACUGUCUUUUCUCCAUUGUAUAUCCUUGCCUCCUUUGUCAUAGAUUAGUUGACCAUAGGUGCGUGGGUUUAUCUCUGGGCUUUCUAUCUUGUUCCAUUGAUCUAUGUUUCUGUUUUUGUGCCAGUACCAUAUUGUGUUGAUUACUGUAGCUUUGUAGUAUAGUCUGAAGUCAGGGAGUCUGAUUCCUCCAGCUCCAUUUUUUUCCCGCAAGACUGCUUUGGCUAUUUGGGUUCUUUUGUGUCUCCAUACAAAAAUGGGCAGACCUAAAUAGACAUUUCUCCAAAGAAGACAUACAGAUGGCCAAGAAGCACAUGAAAAGCUGCUCAACAUCACUAAUUAUUAGAGAAAUGCAAAUCAAAAGUACAAUGAGGUACCACCUCACACCAGUUAGAAUGGGCGUCAUCAGAAAAUCUACAAACAACAAAUGCUGGAGAGAGUGUGGAGAAAAGGGAACCCUCUUGCACUGUUGGUGGGAAUGUAAAUUGAUACAGCCACUAUGGAGAACAGUAUGGAGGUUCCUUAAAAAACUAAAAAUAGAACUACCAUAUGACCCAGGAAUCCCAUUACUGGGCAUAUACACUGAGAAAACCAUAAUUCAAAAAGACACAUGCACCCCAAUGUUCAUUGCAGCACUAUUUACAAUAGCCAGGUCAUGGAAGCAACCUAAAUGCCCAUCGACAAACGAAUGGAUAAAGAAGAUGUGGUACAUAUAUACAAUGGAAUAUUACUCAGCCAUAAAAAGGAACGAAAUUGGGUCAUUUGUUGAGACGUGGAUGGAUCUAGAGACUGUCAUACAGAGUGAAGUAAGUCAGAAAGAGAAAAACAAAUAUCGUAUAUUAACGCAUAUAUGUGGAACCUAGAAAAAUGGUACAGAUGAACUGGUUUGCAGGGCAGAAAUUGAGACACAGAUGUAGAGAACAAACGUAUGGACACCAAUGGGAGAAAGUG